AUUAACUGCCGCUUUCCGCAUCGAAUUGCAUGAGAAUCAAAGCGCUCAGUCGCAAACAUGGAGGCGAGAUUCGCUAUGUUUGUGGUAUUUGCUGUUGCACUUCUAAAGGACACAUUAAGUAUCUGUGACAGUAGGUGCAAGGGCCAAGGCUGCAAAGCGGGGGUAUGAU